UACGGGGGGGGCAAGCGUUGUUCGGAAUUACUGGGCGUGAAGGGCUCGUAGGUGGCCAACUAAGUCAGACGUGAAAUCCCUCGGCUUAACCGGGGAACUGCGUCUGAUACUGGAUGGCUUGAGAUUGGGAGAGGGAUGCGGAAUUCCAGGUGUAGCGGUGAAAUGCGUAGAUAUCUGGAGGAACACCGGUGGCGAAGGCGGCAUCCUGGACCAACACUGACACUGAGGAGCGAAAGCCAGGGGAGCAAACGGG
rnacentral:rRNA from 1 species